UUAUACUGUUACUUCAUUUAUGUUUUUAUUUCCCAUCCAGCUACAGAAUAGGUCGCUUGUAUUGUCUGUGUUGAUUUAUUUUCAUGAUAUCUUAGGAAGAAGUUGGGAGAGACUGCAACAGGUCACCAGCCAGAUGCCAUUUAACAUGGGAAUUUCUCAAAGAUUGAGAAAGGGUGAGGCUAAAGUCCCAGGCCCUCGUGAAGCAAUGAAGAAAGUGCCUUCCCAAGGUUCAGGCCCACACGGCGCUGUGAGGCUGAAGGGGCGCGCUAGAACUUCCUUUCACAGGAUGCCACCUCACCUGAAACCCUCCUUUUCGGCUGCCACCCGAGGGACAAGAUCUCCUGAGUCUGUCCAUGAGUUACCCCGAGGAAAACCCUCAGGCAGCCCCUGAGGGACUCUGUUCUGGACUUGGAAGUGUUUUUCUCAGUGACACCUCUAGAGGGCAGCACUCAACGGAGUCCCACAGACACCUCCCAGCAUUUCCUGCUCAAACACUGGAAGGAUGACCUGGUAACGCUGGGGACUGCUUGGGUGUUCUCCUGGAAGCUCCUGAUUUUAAUCACCUGUUUACUUGUCUCCAUUCUUAUAGGUAUGUAGGCUACUCGAGAGCAGGAACUGAGUCUGUCUCGUUCACUGUCUAUCAUCAGAACCUCACACAGCACCUGGCACUUAGUAGGUGCACAACAAAAUAAUCAUCGAAUUAAUAUACUCAGUCUUUAACAGGUUAUUUGUUAUAAUCCACUGCCUUCCACCUCUCAUGUGUGGUAUGCAUUUUAACUUUACAUUCACUUCCUGAUAUACAUUUUAUCCCCUUAUUACAUAAAUUUCUAACAUGUAUAAAAAUAACACAAAAGUAUCACGACCUUCCUUGUAUUCCUCUCAUAGAAUCAGUAACUACCAAUGUUAUUGAAAAGAGUCAAACUCUGUAAAAUAUUUGGAGAUUUAUUCUGAGCCAAAUAUGAGUAUCUAGUGCCUGAGAUACAGCCCUCAGGAGAUUCAGAGACCGUGUGGUCGAGGUGGUGAGGGUACAGCUUAAUUUUACACAUUUUCAGGAGACAUGAGACAUCAAUCAAAUAUAUAUAGAUGUACAUUGGUUUGGUAUGGAAAGGAGGGAUACUGGAAGUGUGGGUUUCCAGGUUGUGUGUAGAUUUAAAAUUUGUCUGAUUGGCAGUUGGUUGAAAGGGUUAAGUUACUAUCUAACCACCUGGAAUCAAUAGAAAGGAAUGUCUAGUUUAGGAUAAUAAGGGGUUGUAGAGAACAAAGUUUUACCCUGCAGAUGAAGCCACCUGGUAGCAAGUUUCAGAGAAAAUGAUUGUACUUGUUUCUUAUCAGACUAAAAAAGUUUGUUCUGUUAGUAAUUCCAAAAGAGAUGAGGUAUAAUGAGGCUUGUCCAACCCCCUCCACUUCCCAUCAUGGCCUAAAUUCAUUUUUCAGGUUAGCUUUGGAAUGGCCUUGCUGAAAAGAGAGAUCCAUUCAGAUGGUCAGAGUGAGGGAGGGAGCUUAGAAUUUUAUAUUUGGUUUACACCAACUAAAGCCAAUGUGUUUUCAUAUACAUGCCCACCCACUUCCCCCAUCUUGUAAUAAUGUAAGGAAAUCCCAAAUACCGUAUAUUCCAUCCUUAGAUACUUCAAAGUGUUUCCCUAAAACAUAAAAACUAUGAUUCCAGCAAACCAGUCUCAGAUUCCAGCAAACCAGUCUCAUGUGCCCAUUGGUUAAAUGUGACCAUUCUCGCCAUGCUAAGAGGUGCGAGUAUGUGGUAAUAAUGAAUGUAGGGAAGUUAGUGGGAAGAGGAAGAAUUCAAGAACUAAUAUUUAUUGAAAACUUUCGACUGAUCCUUCCUUCCCCAAUGCUAGUCUCUUUCAAUAUGUUAUAUCUUGACUCCUCCUUAUAGUCCCAUGAAAUGCUUGUUAUUAUCUCCAUUCCUUAGUUAGUGAAAUGGAACAUCAGAAAAGUUAAAUGCAAUGUCCGCUAUCACACUCCACGUGGUGAUGAACUUGAAAAUCCACACCCAGGACGAAAAUGAAGGUAGGCCUAGAACCCACCCAGGUGAAGGCCCUGAGAACCCAUGAAGUGGCUGUGAAACCAGAGGAUGUCACUGACAAGGAGGACCACCUCUUUGGCUGUUAGGCUGAAUUUGAUGAAAAGCAGAAAUUAGGCCUCAGGCUUGCUUAACUGUAGCUCGAAGAACCAAAUUCUUUCAACAGACAGAGGACCCUAAUUUCUUGCUUCUUUUGGUUUUCUGUAUUCCACCUCUUUGGGGUGCAUUUUGUUUUAUAACCUGGAAAAACAUGUUGCCUCAUCAACUUUGCAGGCUUGAAUAGGAGAUAGUAUCUAUUCAGCAUCAGUCACACACUGGCCAUUCCUCCAAAUUUAUCUUCAUUUUAUCUUACAAAAAUCACCUAAGUUGAAUGUUAUUAUUAUUCUCAUUUUACAACUGGUGAUACUGAGAUUUUUAAAGCAACUCGUCCAGAGUAAGUGGUGAAUCUGGGAUUCAAACCCAUUGCUAUUCAAAACCAAUGACUGAGCCUUAUUUUCUGUUAGUGUUUCUCAAAUAUGUAUGCUAAUUUUCCAGAAAAUUGUGAAAGCUACAUAUUUUUUAAAGAAAAUAGGAAAGAAUAAAAAAAUACCAGAGAGCAUGACAUGCUGGAGAGUAAGUAAUGUUUCAUGAGUUUUUAGUUUCAGUUACAUGUAUGUUAUGUGUAUGGAUAUUUGCAUGUGUGCACGUUCAUUUGGCCAUUGCAAAUGGUUAGAGAUAAAUUCACUAGGGAUCAUCAAGGAAGUUUGUUGGCCCUUGCUCUAUCCCAGCCUGCUUGGGAGGUGGAGCAUAGCAGAGAACCAGCAAAUGAAAACCAAGUGUACAGGGACAGGCCAUAAAUAAUUGGAUCAUGAAUGUGAGUGGAAACACACAGGACUCAUUGAAAGCAUGAGUUCCAAGACUUAGGAACAGUGGCAUUUUCUCUCCAAACCCCCAACUCUGUUAUAACAUAUUAAGAUUCUUCUUGCAAAGUUUUGUGGUCAUCGAGGUUGAUACAUUUGUACAAAAAUAUACUUGUCUUUACCAACAGAUGUAUUUCUAAAAAAGUACGUAUGACUUGAAUUUAGACAUUAAAAUCUUUUAAAUGUCUACAUUUUAAAAUGUGGAACUCAAC
rnacentral:lncRNA from 10 species